AACGAACGCUGGCGGCAUGCCUAACACAUGCAAGUCGAACGCUCGUAGCAAUACGGGAGUGGCAGACGGGUGCGUAACGCGUGGGAACCUGCCCAGAGGUUCGGAAUAACUGCGGGAAACUGCAGCUAAUACCGAAUGUUGCCUGAGGGCUAAAGGAGUAAUUCGCCUUUGGAGGGGCCCGCGUCCGAUUAGCUAGUUGGUGGGGUAAUGGCCUACCAAGGCGACGAUCGGUAGCUGGUCUGAGAGGAUGACCAGCCACACUGGAACUGAGACACGGUCCAGACUCCUACGGGAGGCAGCAGUGGGGAAUCUUAGACAAUGGGGGGAAACCCUGGUCUAGCCAUGCCGCGUGAUCGAUGAAGGCCUUAGGGUUGUAAAGAUCUUUCAGUGGGGAAGGAUAAUGACGGUACCCACAGAAGAGGCCCCGGCUAACUCCGUGCCAGCAGCCGCGGUAAU
rnacentral:rRNA from 1 species